AAGGUUGAAAGUAGCCAGAAUAUGUCAAGAUCCCCAAAGCUGGUGUGCUUUCUGCCCCUCUCUGUGUGUCUUUGGGAUCCUCUCUACUCCUGUGGGAGUCUGACCCUGCUGGAUUGGAACAGGGGAAUGGAAGUCACUGGGCUCCCAGCCUCCCUGACACUGGCAUGAGGAAAGCUUUCAGGGUCAAACUGGACUUGCAUAUUCCCCAUUCCCUUCAAUUCACAAGACAUUCUACUUUUUUUUUUUUUUUUCAGAGUAGCCUCUCUUAUAAAUGACGAGUUUGGUGUGAUUGAGAACUGCCCAGCAGCACAGCCACGCUCUCUUCCUGUGACACAGAGCACAUAAAUGUAAGGUUUGGAGAUGUUGUUUGUGACUUUUAAAAAAUGCACUUUUUAAUGUUUUGAUAAACCUAAAGCUUUAGUCUACCAUCAUAUACAUGAACAAAAUUUUUGAACUCAGAAAUCCCUGUUAGCAUCUCCACCAUUAGGAAAUUAUUCUUGUUAAAGCCUAUUAUGUGUUUUCUUUAUGUUUAAAUGAAGGCAAAAAUGCAAUCUGGCCCAUUAGACCAGAAUGUGGAAUUGAAAAAGGAUGGCUGGGGUGAAGGUAAUUUCUGCAAGUCUGUACACUCAGCACCUGGGUAGGAAGCAACAGAGCUGGAGGUAUACAGAGGAAUUCAAAACUGAAGAAAGCUGUGAACUGACAAAGGUCUCUUGUCCACUCUGCAGGCUUUUGUAUACAUCAGGGGAAAGAGGAGAGAUAUUUUACAACAAACCAGAAGUGUCCUAAAUUAAGGUACUUCCAUGAAGAGGAUCUCUGUUUAAUUCAUACUGUUUAAUUCAUAAUGCUGAUCAUUGAUCAAUAAUAAUUUGCUUAAAAUUUCUCAGACAAUUUAAAGACAAAGUGAUAACAGUGAAUAGACAGACAAAAAUGUAAUUUGUGACAUACCUCUUAUCUACUUAUUCUUCUCUUUCAAUUUCUGAAAUUAAAGCAGUUGAAAAUAAUACAUACUGACAUGUAAAAAGAGCUGACUGCAUGUUGCCUAAAUAAUUUGCUAUAAAAAUACCACUUACCAUUGACAUUGCCAAGUAUCUUCUUAUUUUAAUCUGCUAUUAUCAUGCCUUCUUGGAUAUGAAAUACACAGCAGAGUCCAUUCCCAGUGUGUUAAAUACUUGAGAAAAUAAUAAAUGCAGCGUAACUCCACA
rnacentral:lncRNA from 1 species